GAUGAACGCUAGCGGGAGGCCUAACACAUGCAAGCCGAGCGGUAGAGUCUCUUCGGAGACUUGAGAGCGGCGCACGGGUGCGGAACACGUGUGCAACCUGCCUUUAUCUGGGGGAUAGCCUUUCGAAAGGAAGAUUAAUACCCCAUAAUAUACUGGAUGGCAUCAUCUGGUAUUGAAAACUCCGGUGGAUAGAGAUGGGCACGCGCAAGAUUAGAUAGUUGGUGAGGUAACGGCUCACCAAGUCAGCGAUCUUUAGGGGGCCUGAGAGGGUGAUCCCCCACACUGGUACUGAGACACGGACCAGACUCCUACGGGAGGCAGCAGUGAGGAAUAUUGGACAAUGGGUGAGAGCCUGAUCCAGCCAUCCCGCGUGAAGGACGACGGCCCUAUGGGUUGUAAACUUCUUUUGUAUAGGGAUAAACCUAGAUACGCGUAUCUAGCUGAAGGUACUAUACGAAUAAGCACCGGCUAACUCCGUG
rnacentral:rRNA from 1 species